GUGGUUUUGCAUUUUUGCAAUAGCUGUCUAUGGCUGUUUUCAUGCUACAACUGAGAGUUAAGUAGUUGCUCCAGAGAUCAUAAAACUCAAAAAGCGUAGGCUAUUUACUCUCUGGCCCUUCAAAGAAAGAAUGUCCUGAUCCCUGACCUAUAACCCAUCCUGGAUCGCAUGAGAUUGCUUGAAGCCCAGUGUAGUGUUACCUUGUGCUCUGCCUGCUGCUGGCCUGAGUUCUUUCUGAACGUACACACCGCACCCGUGGGGGACUGGAACCAGCAUCUGUGGGGGACCCCACAGUCCGGAGAGAGGCUCAGGCCCCAGAGACGCCCUCUGAGCCUGUAGGUUCCGCAUCCAAGGAGUCAG
rnacentral:lncRNA from 9 species